AAUCACUUAAGAUGUCUGAGUUUUAGUUUUGUAAUGUGUAAACUGAGAACUAACUCACAGGGUGGUUGUAAGGAAUAAGUGCGAUGACGUAUGUUAUGACGUAGCUCAGAGGUAUGUGGGACGCACUCAUUAAAUGACAUCUACUGCUAUUACCUCGUUAUCCGCAGAAUUGCUUAUGUCUUACUGUCAUAGACCUUGGCAGCAGCCCUCUGUGAUUCCUUGCUGAGCUGAACCGAUGGACUGGAGUUUGGGCACAGUGCACACGUGACAGGGUGCUAAGGACCAAGAUGGAUAUGCGUUGACCCUGAAAUCAAGCUCCAGUUCAAGCUUAGAAGUGAAUCCUGGUACAUUUUGGAAGAGACGAAAGAGGGGAGUGAGGGUAGCAAUGGAAAUGAAAAGGAGGAGUGGAAAGAUGUGCCAGAGAGUGUGGUGCUACCAGUGACGGCAGCUUUGAAGAGUCAUCCCUUGGAGCAGCUCCAAAGACAGGAAGGCAGGCUGAGCAUCAUGGCACAUGGCAUGUGGACUGUCUGCACGCCUGAGCUGUGGCAGGUGCUGAUUGAGUUAGAUCAAAUAAUACUGUGGAGCAGCAUUUUCCAAACUGUGUUGCAUGGAGACUGUAUCCUUUAUCCUUUUCCUGAACAGUCUGGUAUAUAGUCUUAUAGUUAAUGAUUUUAUUUGUGGAAUACCCGAGGCGUGUGGAAGUUCUGGGCCAGGGAUUGAACCUGCACCACAGCAGCAACCUAAGCCACUGCAGUGACAAUGACAGAUCCUUAACUCACCGAGCCACAAGAGAGCUCUGACACCGAUUUGAUGUUAAUGUUGAGAGGGAAUAGAAAAGAACAUACCCAUAGAAUUGUGUCAUCAUGUCUAAGUCAGUGGACCCAUUAUGCAAAUUUUAACAAGAAUUAGAUGCUUACUGUUGCAUAUUUUCGCACCCCGUUGCUUAUGUUAUUCUUGGAUGGUUUGUUCUAUAUCCCUUUGGGCAAUUGCUUUCAUUCA
ensembl:lncRNA